rnacentral:rRNA from 1 species
UACGAAGGGGGCUAGCGUUGCUCGGAAUGACUGGGCGUAAAGGGCGCGUAGGCGGAUGGCACAGUCAGAUGUGAAAUUCCCGGGCUUAACCUGGGGGCUGCAUUUGAUACGUGUGAUCUAGAGUGAGGAAGAGGGUCGUGGAAUUCCCAGUGUAGAGGUGAAAUUCGUAGAUAUUGGGAAGAACACCGGUGGCGAAGGCGGCGACCUGGUCCGAGACUGACGCUGAGGAGCGAAAGCGUGGGGAGCGAACAGG